rnacentral:rRNA from 1 species
CGCGUAGGCGGCUUGUCAAGUCACUUGUGAAAUCUCUGGGCUUAACCCAGAACGGCCAAGUGAAACUGACAUGCUAGAGUGCAGAAGGGGCAAUCGGAAUUCUUGGUGUAGCGGUGAAAUGCGUAGAUAUCAAGAGGAACACCUGAGGUGAAGACGGGUUGCUGGGCUGACACUGACGCUGAGGCGCGAAAGCCAGGGAGCAAACG